UAUAAUCAAUUUAUUUACUUUUAUUUAAUUUUCGGCAUUAUUAAAUACAAUCUUUCACACAUUAUGUAUAAUCACAUAUCAUACUCUCAUAAUACUUUUUACAUUAUAGCUUACAUACAUUCUAUACUAAUAUCAUUCACAAAAGUACUAUAAAGCAACUAAAGUUCAUAUAACUUAUCAACAACUUAUAAUAUCUAACAAUUAUUUACAUUAUUCACGUGCUUCUUGUUGGAAGAAGGAAAUUAAUAAGCGGACGGAUUUGAAUCACCUCUAGCUGAAACCAGAAACGCUUGAGUGAGUCCUCAACUCAGUGAAAUUAUAGUGUCUUAUCGGUAGCAUGUACACAGAAAAGUAUCUCAAGGUUCAAUAUUUAUAAUAACACAGGAUGGUAGUAUCAUUAUAACUAGUCAAUAGAAAUACGUCUAUAUAAAAGGAUUCAUAGUAAUCGGAUCAAUAUCACAAAGGAAAUAUCAAUAAUAUGACAGAUAAUCACAUAGCUAGCACUGAAGAAAACAUAUCACUAUGUACAUUUCAGUGCUACCACACAUUACACACUUUAGGGCAGUAACUUCUCCCGUUAUUUAUAAAUCUCUAUAUGCACAUAGCCUGAUAUAACCCCCAUCAAGUUGGGAUUCUAUCAUAUUGGCUAAACAAAUGGCUUGGUACAAUCAAAUAGGCCUAAAGGCCAAAUCAAGUUGGGAUUCUAUCAUAUUGGCUAAACAAAUGGCUUGGUACAAUCAAAUAGGCCUAAAGGCCAAAUAGAUUUCAUAAUUCACAAUCUCAAUAUCACAAUUAACAAACGGUUUCAAAUACCAAUAAUGGUAUGCAUUUGAUUAAAAGUUCCAAUGCAACAUGGAAAGGUUAGACACUAUAACUCACCUUGAAAGCGAGAAUUCAGUUCCUCUCGAUCACUUAUAAUUUCAAAACGGUUUCAUGGUAAUCCUUGACCUAUAUUCACAUUUACACAUAUAUAGCACACUUAGUUUUGUUUUUAGCUCUUUAUAAACCACAAAGUUCCUUAAUAUUCUUAUUCAUUAAAUUCGCAUUUGAAAUUUUAGGGUCAGAAAAUAAACAUAUUGAGCUUAAUUGUCAUUCAUUUUAUACUUAUGUUCAUGGUUAAAUCAUCUAUAUUUAAGUUUGCUCAAUUUAGUGCAAGCUUAGUGAAACACAGAAUUUUCAGCAUGAGUCACUUGCAUUCACUUGACUAUAUUUUCAUUUCUGAAAGUCCUUUUGCUAUGAAAUUUUUACACAAUAUUCCCAACAUCUCAAGGCACUUCUGCAUUAAAUUUCAUGAAUUUUAGGAUUCAUUUACCUAUUCAAAUAAUCUAAUUAUAGAACCAGAAUUUUCAGGUUUCACAUUCUGAGUAGUCUGCUUUCUUUUAUUAAUAUCUCCAUUUUCUCUUAUCAUUUGGACUUUCAUUUUUAACACAACCUUCUUAACAUCUUAGGCUACAUAUCUGUAAAAUUUCAUAAUUUUUAAAUUUUAUUUGCAUGGUCAAACAACCUAAACACAAUAGUGAAAUCUGUUUAGUGUGUCACACUGAACAGUCUGUAUUCACUUAGCUAUAAAUUCUUUUCCUUUCAUCUUAUGAACUUGUCCUUUUACCAAAACUUUGCCAACAUCCCAGCCUAGCUCUCUAUAAAAUUUCAUUAAUUUUGAAAAGAUGAUUUAUAUAUUAAACUUAACAAACUACGGUGGCUGAAUUGAAGCAGCUUCAUUGAGACAGUUUUGGAAAUUGUAGUUUCUAGCUUUUACAUGAUCAAUUCCUUUCAAUCAAAACCAAUUUCUAGCAUCCUAAUUGAUCAAUUAAUAUGUUUAAAAGAUAAUUUUGAGUUUUGAUUCAUCAAAUUAAAGAUUUAAGCUUAGGAAAAUAUGAAAAUCAAAGGCACAAUUUGAAUUUCAUACCUUUCUUUUAAUUUCUUUUGUUUUCUCUUCUCUUGUUUCUUUAUUAGCUUCACUUUUCCUUUGAUAAUAUUAUUUUCACUAGGUAUUUUUGCAGUGAAUGAACUCUAGCAAAUGUUAGAAUGAUAGAAAGAAGAAGGAGAAAGGAGAAGCCUAUGUUGGGCACGAAGAGGUGAAGAGGAGGGUGUUGUCUCCUAAUACAUGUGUCCUUUUUACUAAAGAGAUUAUUCACCUAUACACUCGCCUCCUUUAUCUUAACUAAAGAGGUGAG
rnacentral:lncRNA from 1 species